CCUACGGGUGGCAGCAGUGGGGAAUAUUGGACAAUGGGGGCAACCCUGAUCCAGCCAUGCCGCGUGUGUGAAGAAGGCCCUCGGGUUGUAAAGCACUUUCAGUGAGGAAGAACGCCUGGUGGUUAAUACCCAUCAGGAAAGACAUCACUCACAGAAGAAGCACCGGCUAACUCCGUGCCAGCAGCCGCGGUAAUACGGAGGGUGCGAGCGUUAAUCGGAAUUACUGGGCGUAAAGCGCGCGUAGGUGGCUUGAUAAGCCGGUUGUGAAAGCCCCGGGCUCAACCUGGGAACGGCAUCCGGAACUGUCAAGCUAGAGUGCAGGAGAGGAAGGUAGAAUUCCCGGUGUAGCGGUGAAAUGCGUAGAGAUCGGGAGGAAUACCAGUGGCGAAGGCGGACUUCUGGACUGACACUGACACUGAGGUGCGAAAGCGUGGGUAGCAAACAGGAUUAGAUACCCCUGUAGUC
rnacentral:rRNA from 1 species